UUACUAAGCUCCUGUCAUUUUCUAGAUAAUUUGGUAGAUACUAUCAGUUCGGAGCUUACUCUCUACCAAAUAUUCUUAAUUUUCUCUGAACAGGUAUUGAUGAAAGAAUCAUGAAAAAACAGAUUAAAACCUACAUGUAAUAUUGAACACAAGCAAGAAGACAGACAAUGAGGAUAAAGUAUGCUAAGUGUUAAGACAAGUUAAGCAUAGGAUACUGUGGAUGAUUUCCCACCUGUGUAGGAAACCAGAUGCAGACUGAGAAUCAGGCAGCUGUUGACAGGUCAAUGUAGACUUUCAGGAAGAGAUGGUGACUGAUGACACUCAAAUGCAAGCAUGGAGGACCCAGUCCAGGGAGGGAUGGCAACUGAUGGAGAAACGGCCCAAGAAGG
rnacentral:lncRNA from 1 species